rnacentral:rRNA from 1 species
AGAGCGAACGCUGGCGGCAGGCUUAACACAUGCAAGUCGAGCGGGCGUAGCAAUACGUCAGCGGCAGACGGGUGAGUAACGCGUGGGAACAUACCUUUGGUUCGGAACAACACAGGGAAACUUGUGCUAAUACCGGAUAAGCCCUUACGGGGAAAGAUUUAUCGCCGAAAGAUUGGCCCGCGUCUGAUUAGCUAGUUGGUGAGGUAACGGCUCACCAAGGCGACGAUCAGUAGCUGGUCUGAGAGGAUGAUCAGCCACAUUGGGACUGAGACACGGCCCAAACUCCUACGGGAGGCAGCAGUGGGAAUAUUGGACAAUGGGCGCAAGCCUGAUCCAGCCAUGCCGCGUGAGUGAUGAAGGCCCUAGGGUUGUAAAGCUCUUUGUGCGGGAAGAUAAUGACGGUACCGCAAGAAUAAGCCCCGGCUAACUUCGUGCCAGCAGCCGC